rnacentral:tRNA from 2 species
AAUAAAGUAAGCUAAAAUUAAGCUAAUGGGCUCAUACCCCGCUGAUAGAGUUACUCUCUUUAUUA